CCUACGGGUGGCAGCAGUGGGGAAUAUUGGGCAAUGGGCGCAAGCCUGACCCAGCAACGCCGCGUGAAGGAAGAAUGCUCUCGGGUUGUAAACUUCUUUUCUCAGGGACGAAGAAAGUGCCGGUACCUGAGGAAUAAGCCACGGCUAUCUCCGGGCCAGCAGCCGCGGUAAUACGGAGGGUGCGAGCGUUAAUCGGAAUUACUGGGCGUAAGGCGCUCGUAGGCGGUAUGUCAAGUUAAGGGUGAAAUCCCCGCGCUCAACGUGGGAACUGCCUUUGAAACUGGCAAACUGGAGUGUGUGGAAGGAUAGUGGAAUUCCAGGUGUAGGAGUGAAAUCCGUAGAUAUCUGGAGGAACAUCAGUGGCGAAGGCGACUAUCUGGCACAUAACUGACGCUGAGGAGCGAAAGCGUGGGUAGCAAACAGGAUUAGAUACCCCGGUAGUC
rnacentral:rRNA from 1 species